CGCCGCGGACGUCCGGGACGGCGCGGGCGCUUCCCCUGCAGCUGGCCGGAAGGAUGGGGCUCUGGAGGGGCUGAGCCGGCGGUGACCCUGGCGGGCAGCCUGCAUGCCGUCCACACAUGGGGGGGCUCCUCACCUCGCAGGGCUGUGCACACCUCAGGAGGAAAUGAUCAUACAGAAAGGUCACAUCUGAGUUGAUGACUGAGACAGAGAUGAAGCUCAUCACUUCCAGGGGGUGAGCAAAGGACCCGUCCCAGGGCCUGAUGGUCUCCUGAUGAUCUAUGAAGACCUCAGCGCUUUUGCCUUUGCUCUGUGACUGGGGAGGGAAAACUCUGCCUGAAGCUGUACCCACUGAAAACCAGUGACCUGCAGCCUUCAAGCGCAGCUGGAAAUGAGUGGGGAGAGGAGCUGAAGCCAGAGACCUUGCGGGACAAACACUGAGUGUGUGGGGAUGUGACUGAGACACCCCACAGCCAGAGCAGACCUGACCUCCCCAAAGACCUGCCCAGCCGAGCACUAAGGCCAACGGACUCUCCAGAUUCGUCUGCUGCUGAUGUGUGUCUCUGUGGAGCCCAGGUGCCAGCACAGCCCACCAUGCGGGAGGGAUCAGGUGAGAACUGAAUCCCAGCCACGCAGGUGCUCCCAUCAGAGGAUGUGUGGGGGUCACCAGCCCCAGGAGCUCUACACGCCAGGGCCCCUCCAUCUCCACCGGCCUCACUGAGGGCCGGCAGCUCUGCACUGGCACCCUGGGCCACCUGCCCCAAACCCCAACACCUGAGCCUGCACUCAGGACUCUUGACAGCAGUGGGCACUGGGCAGGGGACAGACGUGAGGGAAUAGGAGCUGGACGUCUGCCAUACUGGCUGACGAGGGAGAGGCAGAAGUGUGGGUCACAGAGCCCACAGCACCGUAGCGCACGCCUGGCACCAUCACGUGUUACCAGGAGCUGCCCCCUUCUGGCUGUAGGUACCAGAUAGUGUCACCACGGUCACCCCGGGGAAGCCACCCUAAAAGCAAAAGUUGUGCUCGAGAUGAUGAACACUUCUGAGAGACCAUUGUGGUCAUUCUUGAAAUUAAGGAGAAACCUUUAUUUUCAACAAAAGUGCCCAGGAGAGAUGGUUCAUUGAUCCACUAGGAAAGAGUCUCUCACCACUUACAGCACCAAAAUAUAUAUUUAAAAAAUUAAAAAACACACAGCCCACCCCGCAUACACACACACACACACCCAUCUCCCCCAAAGCCACAUGACCCAGACCAAACAGGAAGACAACCAAACUGAGUGCCCUCGCACAAAAGAAGUCUUUGAAUUGGGGUUUACAAAUUCAUAUAGUCUUUCCUAUGAAAAAACAAAAACAAACCAAAAACCAAAGAGGGAAAGAAAACACUUCUACACGAAGGCCGGCCGUGAUGGGGGGGAGGAGGACACGCUGUCCUCCUGGAUGCUGACAGAACAAGAUGGUCAUCAGUGCUGCCUGGUGCUCUGAGCGGGGCCUCGGGUGGACCAGCGGCCCUAAGAUGAGGCGCCUUCAGGAGCUGAAGUGCCCAGAACGCUGAGCACACGCCAUGGGGCAGUCCUUGCCGGCCUUCCAGAAGAGACGGUAUCUUGCACUGGGAGUUUUCCAGUGCUUAAAAGGGCCAGUUUCCCUUUCAAAAUGAUGCUGGGUCAAAAAAAAAAAAAACAAAAAACAAAAACACAAACAGUAAAAGAAGGGA